rnacentral:lncRNA from 1 species
UUCUCUCCCUGCUGUGUGUCGCUCCUUUAGGGUUUCAAGGCCGCAUCGCCGGUGGAAAAUCAAUUCUCUGAUUAAGUCUAUCUAUCUCGCCGGAGCUGGUAUUCUCUCUACCCUUUCUCCAUUUCUUAAUUAGUCCCGGUUCCUGUGCUUUCGCUAUAGACACACUUUGUCCCCGGGGUUUUGAUGACAAAUCUCACGCGCCAAUCCUCUCUUCUUCCUCUCUCUCUUUGCAGUUUUCCUCACUUUCUCUCUCUACCCAUCUCCAUUUCCUCUUCAAAACCCCCCACUAAAAUCUUCAUUUUUGGGUUGGUGUUUGUCGCCGGAGACAAGUCCCGGAAUCUUUCCAGAGAGUGUGUGGCCUCUGUUCUUGAGUACAUGGACCCACAAGAGAUCUGUAAAGUGGUUGUUUUUAAUAAGGCUUUUCGGGGAGCUUCUUAUGCUGAUUUUGUUUUCGCAGCCUUAUUCUCAAUGGCUGGGGAAUGAUGAUAUCUCUUUGUUUAUCUUUGAUUUUUAUUUACAAUAUUAGAUAUUAACAAAAUAUCUAGUAUGUAUUUGAUGAAGUUCUGAGAUAGAUUUUUUUUGUUCCUUUUUGCAGGUCUAAAAUUUAUAAGGUUUCCAGAAUUUAUAAGCUCAAGUUUGUUCUCUAGGAGGGGCAAACACAUUGGGUCGUGCGACAAAGGUUGUUGUCAUGAACCGUAUUUCUUCUACUUCCUGCAUAAGCUUAGUUCUUCAUUUUAUUUCUGAAAUGUUAUUGCAUUCCUACUGUUUGAUAAAAGCUCUAAGAGAGUUUGUAAUCACUUUUGAAUUGCAUUUACAGCAGUAGUGGCUACUGAAUGUUGAAGGAAUGAUGAAAGUUGUGGAUGAGAGCAGGAGAG